rnacentral:lncRNA from 1 species
AAAAAUAAAUUAUCUUAUUUUUUUAAAAUAACAAUUAUUAUGAGACAGAAAUAAUAAAAUUUUAUUUAUUUAUAUAUGUGGUGUGGUUACAUAAGACAUACAUAAACAGUGGCGGAGCCAGGAGUUUCCCUUUGGUAGAGCACCGGCUGCGCCGCUGUGACACAUUCAUCCCCUUCAAAGCAUUUUUCGAUCGCCGGUAUGGCACGUACCUUUCCUCCGUCCCGUGUACAUAGACUAAAGCUUGAAUUUUGAAGAACUUGAGGCUUACCUCAGCUAUGAAUAUUAGAACCAGCAAACCUUAUCAAUAUUCCAAGGAAGAAGAAGAAACUCAACCCUUUUAUUACAAAACAUUAUUUUACCGCUUAACUAUGAUUUAAGAUAUAUUAAACUUUGCCACCUUCAUUAUUAUCGCCGACACCACCACCACCAUAACCACCCCUAGGAAUAGAAUGGUGGUCACAGCAGUUAUCGUUGUCCUGAUGCUUAUUAACUUCUUGCUGGUUUCCGACAAG